rnacentral:rRNA from 1 species
GUGCUGGAGGUAUCGGAAGUGCGAAUGCUGACAUGAGUAGCGAUAAAGGGGGUGAAAGGCCCCCUCGCCGUAAGCCCAAGGUUUCCUACGCAACGUUCAUCGGCGUAGGGUGAGUCGGCCCCUAAGGCGAGGCAGAAAUGCGUAGCUGAUGGGAAGCAGGUCAAUAUUCCUGCACCAUUGUUAGAUGCGAUGGGGGGACGGAUCGCGGAAGGUUGUCCGGGUGUUGGAAGUCCCGGUCGCUGCAUUGGAGAAGGCGCUUAGGCAAAUCCGGGCGCAGGAUUCAAGGGUGUGGCGCGAGCGCUCUAGGGCGCGAAGCAAUUGGAAGUGGUUCCAAGAAAAGCCUCUAAGCUUCAGUCUAACGAUGACCGUACCGCAAACCGACACAGGUGGGCGAGAUGAGUAUUCUAAGGCGCUUGAGAGAACUCGGGAGAAGGAACUCGGCAAAUUGGUACCGUAACUUCGGGAUAAGGUACGCCCUUGUAGCUUGACCAGCCUGCGCUGGAAGGGUGAAGGGGUUGCAAUAAACUGGUGGCUGCGACUGUUUAAUAAAAACACAGCACUCUGCAAACACGAAAGUGGACGUAUAGGGUGUGACGCCUGCCCGGUGCCGGAAGAUUAAAUGAUGGGGUGCAAGCUCUUGAUUGAAGUCCCGGUAAACGGCGGCCGUAACUAUAACGGUCCUAAGGUAGCGAAAUUCCUUGUCGGGUAAGUUCCGACCUGCACGAAUGGCGUAACGAUGGCCACACUGUCUCCUCCCGAGACUCAGCGAAGUUGAAGUGUUUGUGAUGAUGCAAUCUACCCGCGGCUAGACGGAAAGACCCCAUGAACCUUUACUGUAGCUUUGCAUUGGACUUUGAACCGAUCUGUGUAGGAUAGGUGGGAGGCUAUGAAACCGGAACGCUAGUUUCGGUGGAGCCGUCCUUGAAAUACCACCCUGGUUUGUUUGAGGUUCUAACCUUGGCCCGUGAUCCGGGUCGGGGACAGUGCAUGGUAGGCAGUUUGACUGGGGCGGUCUCCUCCCAAAGCGUAACGGAGGAGUACGAAGGUACGCUAGGUACGGUCGGAAAUCGUGCUGAUAGUGCAAUGGCAUAAGCGUGCUUAACUGCGAGACCGACAAGUCGAGCAGGUGCGAAAGCAGGUCAUAGUGAUCCGGUGGUUCUGUAUGGAAGGGCCAUCGCUCAACGGAUAAAAGGUACUCUGGGGAUAACAGGCUGAUACCGCCCAAGAGUUCAUAUCGACGGCGGUGUUUGGCACCUCGAUGUCGGCUCAUCUCAUCCUGGGGCUGUAGCCGGUCCCAAGGGUAUGGCUGUUCGCCAUUUAAAGAGGUACGUGAGCUGGGUUUAAAACGUCGUGAGACAGUUUGGUCCCUAUCUGCCGUGGGCGUUGGAUAUUUGAAGGGGGCUGCUCCUAGUACGAGAGGACCGGAGUGGACGAACCUCUGGUGUACCGGUUGUGACGCCAGUCGCAUCGCCGGGUAGCUAUGUUCGGAAGAGAUAACCGCUGAAAGCAUCUAAGCGGGAAACUCGCCUUAAGAUGAGAUAUCCCUGGAGGCUUGACCUCCUUGAAGGGUCGUUCGAGACCAGGACGUUGAUAGGUCAGGUGUGUAAGCGCAGUAAUGCGUUCAGCUAACUGAUACUAAUUGCCCGUAAGGCUUGAUCCUAUAACA